UUGCAAACCACCACAACAUUG
ensembl:piRNA 21ur-4240 ncRNA